rnacentral:snoRNA from 1 species
UAUGAAUCUGGAGCUGAUGAGGGUUUUUCUGUAGACUCACAUCAUUGGAAAUGACUUAUUAAGUGACCAUGUUGUUUGCUUUGCUCACAGAACUAUUUCUUGGAUAUCUGGGAAAGAAUUACAAGAUAGAG